UACAGAGGUCCCAAGCGUUGUUCGGAUUCACUGGGCGUAAAGGGUGCGUAGGUGGUGAGGUAAGUCGGAUGUGAAAUCUCCGGGCUCAACCCGGAAAUGGCAUUGGAAACUACCUUGCUGGAGGAUUUGAGGGGGGAUUGGAAUACUUGGUGUAGCAGUGAAAUGCGUAGAUAUCAAGUGGAACACCAGUGGCGAAGGCGAAUCCCUGGAAAAUACCUGACACUGAGGCACGAAAGCUAAGGGGAGCAAACAGG
rnacentral:rRNA from 1 species